rnacentral:rRNA from 1 species
UACGAAGGGGGCUAGCGUUGCUCGGAAUUACUGGGCGUAAAGGGAGCGUAGGCGGAUAGUUUAGUCAGAGGUGAAAGCCCAGGGCUCAACCCUGGAAUUGCCUUUGAUACUGGCUAUCUUGAGUGUGGGAGAGGUUAGCGGAACUCCGAGUGUAGAGGUGAAAUUCGUAGAUAUUCGGAAGAACACCAGUGGCGAAGGCGGCUAACUGGGCCAUUACUGACGCUGAGGCUCGAAAGCGUGGGGAGCAAACAGG